UAAGGGCGCACGGUGGAUGCCUUGGCACUAGAAGCCGAUGAAGGACGUUACUAACGACGAUAUGCUUUGGGGAGCUGUAAGUAAGCUUUGAUCCAGAGAUUUCCGAAUGGGGAAACCCAGCAUGAGUUAUGUCAUGUUAUCGAUAUGUGAAUACAUAGCAUAUCAGAAGGCACACCCGGAGAACUGAAACAUCUUAGUACCCGGAGGAAGAGAAAGAAAAUUCGAUUCCCUUAGUAGCGGCGAGCGAAACGGGAAGAGCCCAAACCAACAAGCUUGCUUGUUGGGGUUGUAGGACACUCUAUACGGAGUUACAAAGGACGACAUUAGACGAAUCAUCUGGAAAGAUGAAUCAAAGAAGGUAAUAAUCCUGUAGUCGAAAAUGUUGUCUCUCUUGAGUGGAUCCUGAGUACGACGGAGCACGUGAAAUUCCGUCGGAAUCUGGGAGGACCAUCUCCUAAGGCUAAAUACUCUCUAGUGACCGAUAGUGAACCAGUACCGUGAGGGAAAGGUGAAAAGCACCCCGGGAGGGGAGUGAAAUAGAACCUGAAACCGUGUGCUUACAAGUAGUCAGAGCCCGUUAAUGGGUGAUGGCGUGCCUUUUGUAGAAUGAACCGGCGAGUUACGAUUUGAUGCAAGGUUAAGCAGUAAAUGUGGAGCCGUAGCGAAAGCGAGUCUGAAUAGGGCGUUUAGUAUUUGGUCGUAGACCCGAAACCAGGUGAUCUACCCUUGGUCAGGUUGAAGUUCAGGUAACACUGAAUGGAGGACCGAACCGACUUACGUUGAAAAGUGAGCGGAUGAACUGAGGGUAGCGGAGAAAUUCCAAUCGAACCUGGAGAUAGCUGGUUCUCUCCGAAAUAGCUUUAGGGCUAGCCUCAAGUGAUGAUUAUUGGAGGUAGAGCACUGUUUGGACGAGGGGCCCCUCUCGGGUUACCGAAUUCAGACAA
rnacentral:rRNA from 1 species